CUUGAAGGAGGAGCGGCCCCUUCAAAACUGAGCUGUGUUCCCUGAGCUGUGCCCUGCUGCCAAGCCAGCCCCACACCGCUGCCUCUGCCUGGUCCAGGCUGUCAGAUGAACGUUCUCCCGACCUCCAGAAAGCAUCGCAGAGCAGCGGGGGAAGGGGCUGGAGCUGACAGGCUGCAGACCUGCCUGGUAGCCAUGUAAAAUCCCCCGAGAGACGCCCAGGACAGCACCGCAGCGAGGAUGGUGACAGCCUGCUGAGAGCUGCAGUGCAGCACUGCGUGUAUUUGACAAGCUGAGUUUGACACUCAGUCUGGCAGAGUGUCAGUUUGUCAAAUACCCCAAGUGAGGCACUUGCUGAGCAACACGGCCAUGCACUGAGGCGAUGGACUCCUUCAUGCCCAUAUUCUGCUCCUCUCUAAAAACCCAACAAGGUACUUCCACAUCAGUGUCCAAUCUAAUCACAUCUGCAGUGCGGUGGCUGAAACAAAGAGACAUUCUUAAGAAUGAGGACUAAAUCCCCCUUAACAGCUGCUAUCUCACUCCACCUCCUCUGCAUAAUGGAGAGAAUGUAAGAUGGACAAGUUCUCGAAUUAAGUUAGAGGCACUUUAAUGACAAAAGCAAAGGCCACGUGUGGAAGCGAUCAGAAAGAAGCAGGGUGAUUUAUUCUUUGCUUCCCAUCGGCCGGCAAUACCCAGCCACUGCCUGGGAAUCUGAGCCUCAGUACACGUGAUGGUUGCUUCCAAAGGCAAUUGAUGUAACCAGAAACGCCUCCCCUAGCUCCUCCCACAUCCCUCAGCAUUAUUGUUGAGCUGGGUGUCAUACGGUGUGGAAAAUCUUUGUGGUCAGGAUAGGUCAGCUGUCCUGGCUGCGUCCUACCCAAGCUGUUGCCAACCCCGACCUGCUGGCCUCUGUGGGUUGGAAAGAGAGCCUUGGUGCUGCACAAGUGCUCAGCAAUAGCCAAAUCCCUGUGGGGUUACUGACACUGUUUUAGGCACAAAUGUAAAGCAGUGUUAGGGGUGUUAUGAGGAAUAUUAACUCUGUCCCAGACAGAUAAAAGAAAUCUCUGGCUUUUUGCUGAGUAAAAAGGCUUUUCUGAAACAAAUAACAGUAUGAUGCCCUCAAAAGUCUUCUCAACAUAAUAGGUGAAAAAUUGUACUUACAAAGCAACUUCAUAGAUGGAUUCUGAAAAAAAGGAAGAAUUGAAGAUAUGCAUCAGUACAUUUUAUGACGAAUGUACCCCAGAAAUAAAAAUAAAAAGGGAAGAAAGCAAGCAAAACCAACAAAGAAACCACAGAUGCUUCCAGGUAUUUGCACCUUCAGGAAUCCACCUUGUUGCUCCCUGGGGGGACAGUGGGGCAAGGAGGGGGCCAAGGCAGAGUGAUGGGACUGUGGGGAUUAGGAAUGGGGCUGGAGGGAGCACAGUGCCCUGCCCUACCUGCCCACCCCUGUUAAAAAGAUGCUGUUCUGAAUGCCUUUAACAAAAAUAAUUUUUAGAAAGUGCAUGCUCUUGUGUGUUCAAGCAUUCAAUAAAUAUAUUCUGUGUUUGUUAAUAAAAAGGAAAUGCCUUUUUCA